AACGAGCGCUGGCGGCAUGCCUAACACAUGCAAGUCGAACGAGACCUUCGGGUCUAGUGGCGCACGGGUGCGUAACGCGUGGGAACCUGCCCUUAGGUUCGGAAUAACUCCCCGAAAGGGGUGCUAAUACCGGAUAAUGUCUUCGGACCAAAGAUUUAUCGCCUUUGGAUGGGCCCGCGUUGGAUUAGCUAGUUGGUAGGGUAAAAGCCUACCAAGGCGACGAUCCAUAGCUGGUCUGAGAGGAUGAUCAGCCACACUGGGACUGAGACACGGCCCAGACUCUUACGGGAGGCAGCAGUGGGGAAUAUUGGACAAUGGGCGAAAGCCUGAUCCAGCAAUGCCGCGUGAGUGAUGAAGGCCUUAGGGUUGUAAAGCUCUUUUACCCGGGAUGAUAAUGACAGUACCGGGAGAAUAAGCUCCGGCUAACUCCGUG
rnacentral:rRNA from 1 species